UGGGCCCAGAAGCCCUGAAGAGACUUUCGUGAACUGGCCAGCUAUUCCCCAGGAUAAUUGGGUUUACUCAUACCUUAAUAGAAAAAUAGGCAAAAUACAUAGAAAGACACUUCACACAAGAGGAUAUCUGAAUAUUCAACAUCAUCAGAAAUCAAGAAAUACCAAUUAAAAAGCCUCAACGAGAUACUGCUUCACACAUACUAGACUUAUAAGAUUAAGACUGACAAUACCAUGUGUUGGAGAAAGUGUGAAGACUCUGUUGACUAUCAUGAAACCAUCUGUGAACAUACACACAAAAUUCUACCAAAGGAAGUCUCAGGAGGCUUUGCAGACAUGGUGCUUGGGAGAGGUACUGAGAUGAGUGAAAGACCACCAAGUCGUCUUCAGGAUUAAGCUGAAAAUAAUUCCUGGUUGCU
rnacentral:lncRNA from 13 species